rfam:Brassica oleracea var. oleracea cultivar TO1000 chromosome C3, whole genome shotgun sequence
AAUCCAUAGUGAAGGCAUUCUCUGCGGUAGUCAUUGAAACGCUCCCAUGCGUCGUAAAAAGGCUCAUCAAUGAGCCGUCUGAAAGAGGUGAUCUAUGGAAACCGAAAUU